AACGAACGCUGGCGGCAGGCUUAACACAUGCAAGUCGAACGCUGUAGCAAUACAGAGUGGCAAACGGGUGAGUAACACGUGGGAAUCUACCUCGUAGUUCGGGAUAGCCUCGGGAAACUGGGAUUAAUACCGGAUACGGUCUAUGGACGAAAGAUUUAUCGCUAUGAGAUGAGCCCGCGCCUGAUUAGCUAGUUGGUAGGGUAACGGCCUACCAAGGCAACGAUCAGUAGCUGGUCUGAGAGGACGAUCAGCCACACUGGGACUGAGAUACGGCCCAGACUCCUACGGGAGGCAGCAGUGGGGAAUAUUGGACAAUGGACGCAAGUCUGAUCCAGCCAUGCCGCGUGAGUGAUGAAGGCCUUCGGGUUGUAAAGCUCUUUAGCUAGGGAAAAACUAAUGAUGGUACCUAGAGAAUAAGCCCCGGCAAAGCUCGUGCCAGCAGCCGCGGUAAUACGGAGGGGGCUAGCGGUUGUUCGGAAUUACUGGGCGUAAAGCGCACGCAGUGGUGUGCCAAGUUGGGAGUGAAAU
rnacentral:rRNA from 1 species